rnacentral:rRNA from 1 species
UGGGGAAUAUUGGGCAAUGGGCGAAAGCCUGACCCAGCAACGCCGCGUGAAGGAAGAAGGCCUUCGGGUUGGUAAACUUACUUUUACCUAGGGACGAAGGACGUGACGGUACCUGGAGAAAAG